rnacentral:lncRNA from 1 species
ACACAAGACUAAAGACCCAUGUCUGCCAUCUUCAACCUAGAGACAACAACGAAACCCUAGUCCCCAUAACCACUAGCAAUGCCGCCCACCACAUCCAAGCCAUACCAAACCUUCAGCUUCAUCUUCCUCACACAUUACACAAAAAACACAAACCCUAGAUGAACCUUUCUUUUUUAAGAAGACAAGAGCUGAACUCAAAUCGUCACUCCUCACAAACCCAUGGAUGCCUUCCUCGUCUUCCUGAGCUGAACGACCAGACGAUCCCACCCUGACCUCUCUUUGCGACCAGCUGCUCACAGUCGCCGACCACCACCAGCCCUUCAGCCGCCCAGCUCCACCCUAGUUCUGCCGCGACCAGACUCUCACCAAAAAUGACCCCUGAUCUUCAACAACAAUAGACACCGAACCACACAGCUUCACCUUCUUCAGAAACACACACACACAACCAUAGACGAAUAAGAUCGAAGGGGACAGAAAAUCGACGGGAAACAAUAUAAAAAAAAUUCCAGUUUUCUGCUUUUCAAAUCCGAAAAAUACACCCCAGUCUCUGAUUUUUUAUCUUCUCAUGGAGUGGACUUGAAUUCGAGAUCGGAGUUCCGUCGAGGUUGAUGCCGAGUCUAGUUUCCAUCCACGUUUCGUUGAGCUUAAAACAGUGAUACAAUUGCCUUUCAGCUAUAUUGGAGGUCUAUUCUUCCCUUUCCUCAUUGUUCUUUUACUGGAUAUCAUGAUAUUGCUAAUCCUAUUAAUUUGUUGUUAUCGUGUGUUUGUUGAUUGAGAUGAAUUGGUCUGGUUUUUGUUUUCAUUAAAUUGGAGAUUGAAUUAUUUGGCUUUGAAACUAAGUUUAGUUAUGCUUUAUUUGUGUGAAUCGAUAGGAGCAUGCUCAGGCCGACCACACUUGGGUAGGCAAGUCUUAGGAUUUUAUUAGUUUUGAUGCGAGAGGUUGUUCCCCUAGUUAAAUUUAUCCGGAGAAUACCCCGAAGGAUUUGUAUGUAUUUUAUUCCGGGGAAUACCCCGUAGUAUUCUGUAUUUGGAGGCCGAUAGUAGAGUUAGUAGUAUCUUUGUUUUUUUAUUUUUGUUUUUCUUUUAUUAGGUGGUGACGACCUCAAACCUCGUGUGUUAAAUUUUGCUUUUUCUGUAUUUUUCACCUCAACUUGAACAUUUUAAAAGCCGAUUAGAUCAAGUAUGCAACCGUACUAGUUACGGGACUUGGGGAGUGCCUAACACCUUCUUCUCGAGUCAAAUGAAACCCCUUACCAAAUCUCUGGUGUAGACUUAGUUUUGGAGUCUCAAGUGUUUUGAAAGGAAAAUUAUUUUUCGAAAAAACGGUGACCUGACACACCAAAAUCAAAUGUUAGGUGGCGACUCUGAGUUAUUUUCUUUUGAAUAUAAUUUUGUCACGUUCUAAUUGGAAAACCCUUUUUCAAGCCCUACAAAAUCUUUUUAUUUAUUAAGAAGGUUAAGUGAGGUUUGGUAAAAAAAAGAGGUGUGACACUUAUGUGCUUUUCUUGUUAUACUAAUAGCGGCAGAUCUAUUAGUAAACAGGAGCCGCUAUCGCUCACCCGACUGAAAUCUGACGGAUAGAUAGCUAUUCUAUAAAAAAUCAAGACAAAAAGAAAGCAAGAAAAGGAUAGCAAUUGCUUUGGGAACGUUACAGGGGAGGAAGAUAGAACGGUAACCUAUGACACCGAGGUGAGAAGAGUUGAGAACAAAGUGGCGAUUGGGUGCGUAACGCAUGGGAAUCUGUCCGCCCGGUGCACAAAGCAUCUCGCAUUUACGUAAGAUUUAUAAAAAUGCCGCAUUUCAAGAGAUGUAAUGAAUAUUAGUGACUAUUUUUACGGCUCGAACCCGUAACUUAUAGUUCACACGAAAAUAAUUUUACAUUGCUCGAAAGCUCUAAAGAUAUAUACAUUGUUACUAUAAAAAUUCUUCUUCUUUCUUUUUCUUCGGCAUGCAAAGAGUUUUGAUAUGCACUAUGCUAAAUAAGUUUGUUAAAAUUAGUGGAACUCCUUAUAAAAUAAGUAAUUAUUUAUUAAGCCUUCCCUUAUGCGCUUGAUUUUUCUUUUGCUAAUUAAUACCUUCUUAAGGGUUAAUUCCUUUGAUUUAAUUUACAUGCAUCAAAUAAUUGUAGUUUUUUUGUCUUCCUUUCAAAUGUAACCUAACAAAAAAUGUUGGACUUUAGACUUGCAUUAAUUGGUUAUAGCUGAAAGGAUAGUGAUAUAGCUUAAGUGGUAGAUAAAUAAAAGGCCUAAUAUUAAAUAUUAUGUGUGUGGAUAAGUGAAGAUCAAUAACAAUUUACGUGUGAUGGGUAGACACUCUUUAUAAAUAGAGGUCAAUCCCUCUUUCCCUAGCUAUUAGAAAACCCUAGCGUAUUCUGCCUCUUGAAUACAUGGUAACGGUAGACGUCCCAUCAAUCAAGUUCUCCGGACUAUGAGAGCAUGUAGCUAGUGGAUUGUGGAAGUUGGUCAGGUUUAAUUUCCGAUCACUAUCGUUAUUGUGUUGAUGAAGUUGAACGGUACGCUUCCUUACACUUUAACUCUAGAUUAUGUUUAUGCUUGUGUCUUAAUUUCUACUAUGGUUACUAUUUAAUAAUCUAACAAAAAACACAUGCUAAUGGUCUUCUACUAUUAUAAGAGGAAAAAGGUACAUUAAAGUUAUUUUUAUAUGAUCUAUUGUUUACGGGUUUAAAUCGUAAAAUUAGCUCCUAACACUUAGUUUAGGAUAAGCUACUUACAUUAUAUCUCAUGGGAUGCAAGCUGGUCUUGUACCUAAACGUGGAAUACUUCAUGCGUUGCCUCUUUAGUUAGGAAGAAAAUAUUGUCAAGCUAUAGGCUCGUCAUUUUCAGUAAACAUUUUCUUUUCCCCAUUUAUGAUAUUUGACUUGCUCUCGUCGAAAAUCUUUAAACAUUUCCUCUCCACCAUUGGUAGUUUACAUGCAUAUUCCCACCAAAAAUACGACUACAUGUGGUCACCCCACUCAAUGGCGGACACUAGUAUUACGAGAUGUGAAGGAAAGAGCAAAGAAUAGAUCCUACGCAUCCAAAGAGACCGGGCGUACGCAUAAUUUUUGGUAAACGAUGUUAAAAUUUAAAUGAAUAAAUAAAUCACUAUAAUAAAAAGCGAUGUUAUUUUUUAUAUUUAUACCCAAUAUUUUUGUUUUAUAUACUAUUUAUAUAUAUAUAUAUAAUAAAAAUUUCGACAAAACGGUGUCACGUGACACCGCUUGCCGCAUGAUGUAUCCGCUCCAGUAAAGAGAACCAAGAAGACAAAAAACAUAAUAUAAUUUGUAUCAUAAAUUGUUGAAGUAUAUUUGUGUGACUAUCUCAACUAAAAACAUAAAUUAUUCAAGAAAACAUACUUUUAUUUCUUUAGUUAUUUGGCUGAUAAACAUUUAGACUUUUAGCCGUGUAAUAAACAACUAAUUUUAAGUACCUAAAAAAUCUGACAGCUAAAUAUGAAAACAUGGAAAGUUGCAAAAGCAAGACGAAGUCACGUAUAUAUGAAUCUCUUAGUCCGUCAACGUCAAUAACUAUAAUUUCAUAAAAGACUGAUAAUGGUUUCUGAUAUCAGAUCCUCUUUUCCUUUUCUGUUUUAUGUUUAUACUUACCAAUUUUAGGCUAAUGUAGAGUCAGCUUAAUUUCCUUAUACGGAAUUGCAAACUGAGAAGUUCAGCUUUCAAUUGGUGCAUGAAAUUUCUCUGCAUUUCCCCUCUAUCGACUUUAAUGUAAAGUUUUUUGCUUAAAGAAAUAGGGAACAGAGUCAGAAAUUAUUAAGGAAGAGAAGAUAGAAGAUCCACUGUAAGUUCAGCUGUACGCGGGUGUAUUCGAUGUAUUCGUGCUAUUAUAUUCGUAAAUACAUUAGCAGAAAUCGCCUAAAAAUAGGGAAGUCCAGCUAUACGAGACUGUAUUCGCGCUAUUGUAAUUCACCUAAAUAACAGGGAAGUACAUCUGCUUAAUAACGGAAAGUGGAUCAAUUAGCGUGUAUCGCUCCUAAUUUAACUCAACAUAAUCAAUUUUACAUAAAUUUCGUUGACAUUGUACUGUAUUCGAGCCCAGUGCAUGGGGCUUGCCUUAUGCGCGGGGUUUACCCUUUUAUGUAGUUUGCAGGCUAUUAUACAAGAAUGAGGUUUAUCCUGUGCGCACCCGAAAGAUAGUGAUUGCGAAUUCCCUUAUUAACAAAUAAAAUAUAUUCGUAAGAAAAAGUAAGGUCUAGAAAGUUCAGGUAUGUCAAAAAUAACCACUGCAUUUCAGUUAUACUUCACAUUAAGGAAGCUCAGGUAUGUAAAAAAUAACCCCUUUUAUUGAUCUUUUUGCAGUGGAUGGCAAUAGAAGAAUAUGCAGCUCAACUAAAGUGAACUCUCCAAAAAUAUUGUCAAAAUAUGUCUAGCUAAAAAAGACAAUGAAUACACUGGUUCUCUGCUGUUCUAACAACUACAGGACUUUCUGCUACCAAGUCUUAUUUGUACUAUAAUACAUGAUCAUAUGAUCAUUAAAAUACGUACUCUUUUAUGCAAUUAUGCAUAUGUUUGCAAUAAGGUUGUAAAAUAUUUUUCAAUUUUUUCAUAUUUGGUUGGCUUAAAUGUUUUGGAAAAUAUUUUCCUCAUGAACUCAUUUUCUUCCAAUUGGAGGAAAAUGUUUUCCUUAUCAAGAGAAGGAAAAACAUUUUCCAAAACUUCUUCUCAACCUUCCCCACCCUAUUCUCCAUCCCCAUCAACCCACCUCACACCCUCCCACCCAACCCCACCCCACGCCUACCCCCAUCCACACCCUAAAUAAAAUUAUUAUUAAUACUACUUUCUUUUCAUGGUAUAGAUAGAUUUUUUUUUUGCAUUUCAACAAGUGAGUAUUUUUUUACAUGAUAUAAAAAGGCAUUUUUUUUUUGCAUUUCAUCAAAAUGAGUAUUUUCUUUUCAUGAUGUAAAAAAAAGUUUUCUUUUUACAUUUCAACAAAAUGAGUAUUUUCUUUUCAUGAUGUAGAAAAGUAUUUCCUUUUAUUUCAAUGAAAUGAGUACCUUAUUUUCAUGUUGUGGAAAAAGUACUUUCUUUUUUCAACAAAAAAAAAAGUAUUUUCUUUUUAGUUAUGGAGCACAAAUUUUAACAUUAUUUUUGCGUAAAAAGUAAAGCAACAUAUUAGUUUUUUUGGUUUGUGUGAACUUUUAGAAAAAUAAUUAAAUUCAUGAAGAAAAUAAAGUCCUGAAAACAUUGGGUAUUUGGGAGUGCGGAGAGGGAGGGGACGAGGUGGGGGAAGCAAGGAAACAUGAGGACUUGGCGGAAUGAGGGGUGAUGAGAGUAGCAUAAAAAAAUAUUUCCCUAAAUAUCUUAAAUUCUCUAACUAAACACUAGAAAAUAUUUUGCGGAAAAAGUUUUUCACUCACAAACUAAACAAGAAAAAAUAAAUGAUAAAAUCACUCAUUUUCCAUCAAAACAUUUUCUAGGAAAAUAUUUUCCAUGGAAAACAUUUCCCUUCGUACCAAACACACCCUACCAAACACACCCUACGAGUCUCUAGCUACAUCACUUCUGUCUUGGCCCAUUUAAUUAAUUUGUUGUUGUGGUUUCUUUUUAAUUCUCUUUUUAGGUUUAUUUGUCUUUUAUUUGUUGGAAAUCCAUACAAAUAAAGUCAGUGUUUUUGGCAUCAAUUACCACAAUUGCCGUGUUCGCUUGCUACUUAUGUCAUGAUUAUGCGUUAGGAUCAAACUUAUAUACAUUAAAAGGUUGGUGCACAAGACAUUUUAUAUUUACUUAGCGUCCAGGAAGACUAAGUACAUUUUAUACAACUUAUGUACAUUUUAUAUUAUGCACAAGACUUUGUGAGGUAACUGGUUCAAUUGCCACUAGCCAUCAUUUUUUUCAUUUUUUUUACUUUUUUUCUUUUUUGAACCUCCUUAACGGAAAUUCUGUCUCCGCUUAUAUAUACAUCAUUAGAGUAAAUAUGUUCUACUCUUUUUUCCUUUUUUGACCUUAAGACAAGAGUUUUGAUAUGCCCUAUGCUAAAUAAGUUGUUAAAAUUAGUGGAACUCCUUAUUGAAAUCUGAUGAUAAGUAAGCAUUUAUUAAGUCUUCCCACAAGUCUACUAGUGUGUGCCAAGACCUGAUGUUACAAGUGUAUGAGCACUAAUAGAUUAUACAAAACUCUAGCUAUUGUCUGAAGUUUAAAUAGACAGGAAUGAAAGUGAAGGAGAGACUCUAGGAUGUUGCGGAACAACAUAGGAAAGCAGCUCACCACUAGGCCUCCGGGUAACGAGGAUGCACGCCGGUGCGAUUGCUAGAUGCACCUGCCUCAUAUCUUGCACGGCCAAUGCAGAAGUGUAGUGUGAAUACAUAAAUAACAUGUACCUAGUAAGUAUCAAAUCUAACCCCGAAGAAGUUGUGACGAGGGGUCGCCUUCGACACAUACUAUGGGCUAAUAAUAUAAAUAUAGAAAUUCUAAAUAAACAUGGGUUAUGAUUCGCACUCAACUGCUUUCAUUCUAUUUAUUUAAAGCUCUUGUUUCUUAAAUCUUUUAAUUAAGGAAAAAUCUAAUUACUUGAAAAUUUAUUAAAAAGGGAAAUCACGUGGUUAGUUUACUGUUGGCUUGCUUAGCGGCGACGCUGGGCGCCAUCAUGGCCUAUAAGAGAAUUGGACCGUGACGAUAUGGUAUCAUAGCACUAGGUUCAUGUAGGUCUCACAAGUUAUAAGCAAGCCUAAUAGAGUCUUGCGGAUCAGUGCAAAGACGUCCGUACUUAUCUUCGAGAGGCUAUAGGGUAUUAGGAAACUACUCUUUCUUCAUCUCCUAUCGUGUAGUUGAUAUGGUACUAAGUAUAUUUCUCUUAUUCUCUCACAGAUGGUGAGAACGCGCACAACUGAUGUUCCAGAUCAGGGAGGAGCUACUCCUCCUGUUGCUAAAAGCCGAGACAAAGGUCGGGAGAGGGCUCCAGCCCGUGAUAGAGGACAAGGAUAUCCCAGAGUUGCUCUGGCUAUACCACUAGCAGAUCUAGUAGAGGAUCCUAUGAUUGAGGAGUAGGGGGAGGUUCCUGCAGCAGAGCUAGCCCAAUGAUUUCAUGUUAGCACCGGGAUUCCAGAAGGUCAUCGGCCGUAUGCUACGAUUCAUGGAUACUAUGACUCGGGCUAGUUUAUUUCAAGCAGACCUAGACAUAUCACAGGCGGGAGGGAGAGCACAGACCCCUACUACUCAGGCUCCAAGGCAUACAGCUGUCGUGUAUCAUACCCCGGGUGCACUACCCAUGGGCAGAGCCCAACCAGUGGUAGCAGCUAUACAUGAGCCCAGACUAGUUGUGGCCGGCGAGCCGCAGAAGCUAUUGGAUAGAUGGACUCGGUUACACCCUCCUGUCUUUAGAGGUGAGCGACAUGAGGACCCCCAGGACUUUAUUGAUCAGUGCAGGGACAGACUGCAAAACAUGAGGAUAUUGGAGUCCCAUGGGUAGACUUUGCUACUUUCUCGCUGGAGGGCAAGGACCGUAGAGGGUGGCAGUCCUAUCUUUUUGGCAGACCAGCAGAUUCUCCUCCCAUGACUUGGGACAGGUUCGUCCAUAUCUUUCUGGAUAGGUACAUUCCACCCCUCUUAGAGGGAAGAGUUGUUGUUUCAGUUUAAGCAGCUCUAGCAGAGUCAGAUGUCAGUGAUCGACUAUGGGGUGAGAUUCUCUGAGUUGUCUCGCCAUUCACUUAUGAUGCUUCCUACCGACAUAAAGAGAUUGCAAAGGUUUGUUGCAGGUUUACACACUGGCAUUCAGGCCUCUAUGGCCCGAGAGGUUGAGAUCGGGACUUCUUAUAAGCUAGUUAUGGAGAUAGCUCGGAGGACCGAGGGUGUACGUCAGUGUAGCUGAGAGCAGGCUAAGAGGGAUAAGAGGUUUCGGUAUUACGGGGAGUUCAUAGGUGCCCCGACUGGGGGUAGAGGUCAGUUCAUAAGGGGUCAGUCCAGCAGGCUUGCAUAUCCAUAACUGCCGCCUUCUCGGGGUGCUCCAAUGCGACCCUAUUUCAGCACCAUUCCAGAGAGUUCUUACCGCCCCUAGCUAUUUAGGGUUCUUCCAGUGGGUAUUCAGGCCAUCACGGCCUAUAAGAGAAUUGGGUCGUGACAUGCUAGUGGUCUUUUACUCUUCUAUAAGGGAGAAAAAAGACUUCGGAAGAGGAACGGGGGAACAUUGAGUAGUAACAGCAAAUUUAUUAUAUAUGAUCUAUUGAUCAUGGGUUUUAGCCGUGGUAUCAUCUAUUAACGCUUAGGUUAGGGUAAGUUACUUACAUCAUAUAAUUUCGGGUGCAACUCUGGUAGAACCUUGCUUAAAUAUGGAAUGCUUCGGACAUCGUGUUGCCUUUUUAUUUAGAAAGAAAAUUGUUAACCUUGAAAAUGGUUUUAACAAUUAUAUUAGAUUUUUUGGUUCUAAAAAUAUGUGAUUUAUUUCAAUACUAGUUGUUAGGCAAUAGAUGCUAAGUGUAAGUAAAGAGAAUAAGAUAUGCAAACCAAUGUUGAUGAAGGAUUGGGGUCUCGAACUUAAUGGAAUCAGGGACCUCGGGUCCGAUAAUAGCAAUAAAUGAAGAAUAAUGAAUGAAAAAUAAUAAAGUUGAAAAGACAGUAUUGAGCGUGAGAAAAGCAGAAAAUGUUAUAUUGUGGUCAAAAAUGUUGUGUCCCUUACAAAGUGAUUGGGUUCCCGUUUAUAUAGGAGGAGGGGGACCUAACAUAAUACAUUGCUUAUAAAUAUAAAGAAUUCCAUUGGUACAUGUGUAUAACGGCCUAGUACGGAUCUGUCCCGUCUCGUACGACCCUUAUCCUAUAAUUAAUGCCUAGUCCCACAUGUCCUUGAGAAAUUUCUGCUCUUUCUUGAUUGACCUAAGAUAAUGCUGCCCUCGAUGCGGUCUAUGCCACACAUUCGAUCAGCUUUCCCAAGAUAGCUGUUCGACACCCACUUUGAGUCUCCUCGAACUUGGUCCUAUAGCCUGUUUUAAGCCUUAAAAAUCAUACUCUUCGAUUUCGAUCGUAUAUAGAUAGUCCUCGCGUUUCUUAGAAUAGAAUGAUAUGAAAUGAUUUUGACCUCGAUUUUCUCGAACCUCCUGUGAUGACGUCAUGCUCGUGAAGCCAACAUUCAAGGUGACCGAAAUGUCCCAUCGGCUCGUUUCGCAAAAAAUAUUAAAUGCACGCCAGUGCCGAUCAACCAUUAACGCCCUUAAACCAUUUUUGCCCUUCUAUAAAUAUGGGGUGUCUUCCUUUAGACAACUUUACUUUUCCUCAAUAUUUUCUAAUCCUCAUUUCUUCAAUCACCUAUUUCCUUCGCCUCUUUUAACGCCAUGAAAUACCAGGCUUUAGCCAGAAAUGCUAUGUUCCAGUUCACCUAUCUUCCUUACCUUAUAAAUAUGGCAAAAACUUCUAAGACGGUACCUGAAAAGGAUAAAGCAUCAUCUUCCUCCGCCUCUAGGCCGACCAAAACAGUGACUCCGCCGACGCUUUAAGAGAUCACCCCUGGUGAUUGCAUCAUUAACAAGGACUUCAGCAUCGAGAAUCCUUCAAACAUCAAGGGUCGAUGCGAGCAUGUGUGCGAUACAUUAGCCUGAUAACCACGCAACUCGCCAAGGAUGUGAGGAAGGAUUGUCGAUAGGGGGAUGAGGUCAAUAUUCAGAUCCCGAAACCUGAUAAAAGCAUAACUACCUAUAAGGAGGGAUUUUUGAGUGUUUACACAUAUCCCUUCAUGCUGGCCCCCCUCGAUCCAGUGGUGAUCGACUUCUGCAAGACAUACGAAGUCACCCUCGGCCAAAUUCACCCCUCAUUUCGAUGUAUCGUGAUCAUGCUACGGUACUUCUCUGAGAAGGCCUAAGAUUUAGAGUUCACCCUCAGCCACUUAGUUCGACUGUAUCAUCCCAGUUAUUCCGAGGGCUUAUCAAGUUGCAUCAUCGAACCAUGAAGUCCUUCUUUGCCAGUAGCGAUGAAACAAAAGACCGAGGUUCGAUGAGCCGAUUUAUUAGAGUCAGAUCUUCGGACAUCAUCCCCAAAGAAAAAAUGUUGUUCCCGGAGAGGUGGAAUUUUUACCAUAAGUGGAGUCCGCAUUUCCCUUUUCAUCUAUUCUUGUUUUUUCAUUUUGCAUAGCAUACUCACCUUUUCUUGGCAGCCGAUGCUUGGGUGUCCUUGGCGAUGCCUGACCUCGAGGCUUGGGUUAGGAAACUAGCUGCCACAUACUCUUGUGAAAAGCAUAAAUGGCGUGAAUUAGCAAAGGGCCAAUGGGAAGCAAAGGACCACGACCUUAGAGACGUGUCUAAGAUGAGGUCGGCCUCGUCUAGGGAAAUGACCAAGCCUUCAAAUCCAAAGCCCGAGAAAGAUAAUAAAAGAAAGAGGGUCUCGGAGCCCGAGGAUCCCCAAGAUUAGAAAAUCUCCUAUCGAAGGCUACGAAAAAGGUUUGCUCAAACGGGCACAAACUCAGCCCUUUAUUCCUUGGAUGGUGAGGAAAAUGGUGAGGAAAAUGGCGAGGACGAAUCGGUGCUGGUAACUCAUACCGAAAAGUCAGUCGAGGCUGCCAAGCCUUCCGAGCUAGAAAAUCCACCUUGUGGGGAGGGAAGAGACGGGCAAGGCCCCAAUGUUCCCGGAGGAUGGGAUUGUUCCUCUGUCUUCAAGAACUAUACCAGAGGGGGUAAAUGCUGAGGCCCUUGAGGUUAAUGAGAACGGCCCGAGUAAAGAGCUCGGGGCCGCGACAACAGGUCAUUCUUUUUCAUUGCCAACAUAUUCUGGGGAGGCAGAAGAAGCCACCACUUUGCAUAUGCUCGACCCCAAGUAAGGUCAUCGCGGAUGAUCCUUUCCGGAGUUGCUAUGCUAGGGUUGAGGGUGUCGAUGACUUCAAUGAUGCAUCCUCCAUUUUCGAAGAGUCCCAGCGUCUCUUUCACCGGGUAAUGACCUGCCCUAUUCAUUACAAGUUUUUUCUUACUUUGUUUUCCUCUUCUACUGACGCAUCUUUAUUUCACGUAUAGGUUGUUGCAAAGUUCAAGGACGAUCUAAAACAAUGUGAGAUCGAGCUCAAGAGAGUCUCGGGCAAAGAGAAGGCCUUGAGGCUCCUUUGUAGUCAAAAAGAAGAGAAGCUUAAGGAUCUCUGGGCUGCUUUGGCAAAAGCUCAAAAAAGCGAGUCCGAGCUGGACGAGCAGGUAACUCUGAUUUUAACAAAGUUUGGCCUUCUUGGUCCUGCUUCGGAGGCUAAUACUUUGAAGUCUCAGCUGCAGCAAAAGCUGGACAUGAUUGGGUAGCUCCGGGGUGAGGUGAACCAAGUCCGGACUGAUUGCCACCAGUGGAAGCAGAACAUGGAUCGAUUUACCGCCGAGAAAGAAGUUGUUAAGGCUCAACUGAGCUCGGCUGAGGCUCAGCUCUGUGGUGCUGAAGUGAAAGGUUUGGCUCAGUCCAAGGAAAUUGAGGGGCUGGGAGCCGAACUGGCUAAAGCCCGUACUGAAGUUGUAUAUGCUAAGACUGAGGUUGCACAAGCCAAGGCCAAGGCUGAGAAGACGAAGGCCGUGGCCGAUAAAUCUAUCGCUAUAUACCAGAGAGAAACUGCUGUUGUGCAAGAUAAGUUGAGGGCGGCUUCCAAUCAGGCCAAACGGAGCAGUGAAUUGGCUAGGUGCCAAGCCCAGAGGGAGACUCUCGAGGAAGUCCGUGCUCGAGGUUUUGACCUUUCCGAGGAGAUAGUCGAAGCAUAAGAACGGGAAACCGAUACUAGGUUUCUUGUUUCUUCUAAUGAUGAGGACGUGGUGAGCGGCUCCGGGGACGAGGAAGGUGAAGAAGAUGCUUCCAAAAGGGAAGGGCCCCAGAAGAUAAAGCUACCGGAGAUGAAUAUAAAGUAGCUUUUUGCUCUGUUCUUGAUUCGUGCAGACUUUUUAUUUUGUCCCCAUUCAUAAAAAUUUCCAUUGAUUCAUAUGUUAAGUUUGAAUAUUGGUUUAGACUCGCAAUAAGCCUUUAGGCCUUUAUUAUCCGAGAUCGUACCCCUUAGUGUUUUAGGUGAUUGCCGAGGCAAACUUAAAUUUAAAUUAAUGCGAUCUAGGGGCCUUUGGGUCCGAGUUAAACAAGAAUGGGGUCUUAGACCCCCAUAGGUCUUUGACUUUAUAUUUCUUUUUGAGCUGGCAUUUAGGUUCUAGUAUAUCGGCCCUUAGGCUUUUUUUUAGAACCGGCCCUUAGGCACUUUUAGGUUGGCCCUUAGGCUCUUUUAGGUUGGGCCAUUUCGACCUCCAACAUGGCUAUGUAGUUUUCCCUUAUUUUGGCUAAAAGACUUAAUGAAAUUUUUAGAUAUGCAUUAGCAUAUAUUUUUGUACCCGUUGGGUUUUUUGAAGGCUCGACGUAUCGGAAUCUUAUUAGUCAUUCUUGUUUGUGUGGACAUAGUUGAAUGCCUCUUAAGGGUUUUCGGUAGGCUGGCAUUACGAAGACCUUGGAUUGUUCGACGGCUGAUUUAUCGAAGCCCUUAGGUUUUUUUCGGGGCCUAAUUUAUCGAGGCCCUUUAUGUUUUGCUUUUGUCGGGGGUAGCCUGAUUUAAUCGGUUUUUCAAUGUUUGAAGGCCUUUAAUUUAUAGCGGAAGUCGGACAUCUCCAAGUCGCAUUUUUUGGCCGUAGCCUUGUAUGAUCGUAGUCUUUAGUAUGGCCAUAGCCUUCGGGUUUGUCACAUGGACUGUUUUCCCGAAAACUUUCCGAACUUGUUCGAAAAGUUAGUCCCUGAGUGAGUUGGACUUAGCCUUUGUUUUGAGGGGGUGCCUCUUUGAGGUCUUGUAUUGACUGUUAGUGAUAGUCCCCGGGUAUUUCGGGGUGCUUUGACCCUUGAUACGCUUCCCGUAGGAUUGCUCGUAUGAGAUACAAAGUGUUUUUAAUGUAACCAAGAUGCUUCUUUAGAAAAGUUAAUACAUGCGUAGCUUGAUCAUUUUAUAUGGACACGGUUUAUUUGACUGUUUGGCCCAUUACAAAGUUCUCCUAUCGAGGCCCUCUUAGGCAUGAAAUAUCUUUCUCAAAGCUAUAACUUCCUAGGGUGAUGCCUCCUAGUAUUCAAGGUUGAUCGAAAAGAAGCCUUGGAUACUUGUUGAGUGAUCCUUAGGUAGCAUAUAGGUGUUUCCUCGUUAAAAACCUUGCCGGUAAAACCCAUUUGGGAUAAAACCCAAUUCAAGGGAAAAAGAGUGCAACACAUACUUUCAAACCCAAGGUCUUCGAGUUCAGCAGUAAUAUCGCUUGAGCAUUGAUAUAUUCUAAUUAUUUGGUAAUUGCUCACCUUCCAUCGUGCUGAGUUUGUAUGAUCCUUUUCCUAUGACUCCGGGGACACGGUACGGUCAUUCCCAAUUGGGACCUAGCUUUCCUUCGUUUGGCUUUUGAGCGUUAAGAGUGACUUUCCUCCGUACUAAGUCCCCGACUUUGAAGUAUUGGAGGUUUGUCCUUCUGUUGUAAUACCUCUCAAUUCUUUGUUUUUGCGUGACCAUUUGUAUUAAUGCAUUUUCACGUUUUUUACCUAGUAGCUCGAGAGAAGUGUUAAUUGCUUCGUUAUUUUAGCCUUUAGAGGCAUGAUGAAACCUUGAGCUAGGCUCCCCGACUUCGACUGGGAUUAAAUCUUGGGACCCAUACACCAAGGAAAAUGGGGUCUCCCCCGUGCUUGACUUCGAUGUCGUCCGAUACGCCCAUAAUACUUCGGGUAACACCUCUCUCCAUUUCCCUUUGGCGCCAUCUAGCCUUUUCUUCAAGUUUCGGAUAAUGGUUUUGUUGGUGGACUCGGCCUGCCCAUUUGCACUUGGGUGGUAAGGUGCUGAUAGGAUCCUUUUAAUUUUAUGAUUCUCGAGGAAUUUUGUCACUUUGCUGCCGACAAACUGCUUUCCGUUUUCACAUGCUAUUUCGGCGGGUAUCUCGAACUGACAUAUGAUGUGGUCCCAUAUGAAUUCGAUGACUUCUUUUUCUCUUACCGUCUCGAAGGCCUGCGCUUCAACCCAUUUUGAGAAGUAUCCAGUCAAAAAUAAAAUAAAUCUAGCUUUACCUGGUGUCGUUAGUAGGGGACUGAUGAUGUCCAUCCCCCAUUUUAUGAAUGGCCACGGGGAUAGAACCGAGUGGAGUUGUUCAUCGGGCUGAUGAAUUAUUGGCACAAAUAUCUAGCACUUAUCAAACUUUCGAAUGAAUUCCUUGGUAUCAUUUUCCAUGCUAUCCCAAUAAUAUCCUGCUUUGAUCACCUUGAGAAUCAAAGAGUCUACACUAGAAUGGUUUCCACAGGAGCCCUCGUAGAUUUCCUGUAGUACAUAGUCCGUAUCCCCGGGUCCCAAGCACACCGCCAUUGGUCCAUCAAAGGUUCUUUUGUAUAAAGUUUCAUUUUUAUCGAGCGAGAAUUGGGCCGCUCUGGCUCGGAGUGUUCUUGACUCUUUUGGGUCCGUGAGGAGCUUCCCAUGCUUUAGAUAAUCGAUGUACUUAUUCCUCCAAUCCCAUGUCAAGCUUGUCGAGCUAAUAUCUGCAUGGCCUUCUUCGAUCACUGGUUUUGAUAGCUGGAUGACAGGCCCCGUGACAAUAUCAUCCUCUUCGACUGAUGAUCCCAAGUUUGCUAACGCAUCGGCCUCGCUGUUCUGUUCCCGAGGUACAUGGUCCAGAGUCCAUUCCUUGAAACAGUGUAGUGUUAUUUGAAGUUUGUCUAGGUACCUCUGCAUUCAAUCAUCUCGAACCUUGAAGCUUCCGUUUACAUGGUUUACCACCAAAAGGGAAUCACAUUUGCCUCGAUAACGUCUGGUCCAAGGCCUUUGGCUAGUUCAAGACCUGCGAUCAUGGAUUCAUACUCGGCCUCAUUGUUAGUCAAUUUAGAAGUUUUGAUAGAUUGUCAAAUAAUACUGCCCGUAGGCAAUUUCAAAACAAUGUCGAGCUCGGACCCUUUCACAUUUGAGGCACUGUUUGUGAAGAGAGUCCAAACCCCCGCUGAUGUACCCGUUUUUAGCAAGAGUUUAUUUCUAUUUCAGGUAUGAGGGCAGGUACGAAGUAGGCCACGAAGUCCGCAAAAUUUUGAGACUUGAUGGUCGUCCGAGGUUGAUACUUGAUAUCAUAUCCUCUAAGUUUGAUGGCCCAUUUGGCCAAUCUGCCUGAUAAUUCAGGCUUAUGCAGGAUAUUUCGAAGAGGAUAUGUAGUUAACACACAUAUAGGGUGGUACUGGAAAUAUGGUUUCAAUUUCCUAAAUGCACUUAUUAAUGCAAGAGCUAAUUUUUCCAAAUGUGGAUACCUGGUUUCGGCAUCCCCUAGGGUCUGACUCACAUAAUAAAUAGGAAAUUGCGUACCUUUUUCUUCUCAGACCAACACACCACUUAUCGCUACUUUGGACAUGGACAAAUACAAGUAGAGUGUUUCAUCCUCCUUCGGAGUAUGGAGCAAAGGCAUGAUUGAUAGAUACCGCUUUAAUUCCUCUAAAGAAUGUUGGCAUUUCGGAGUCCACUCAAAGCUAUUUUUCUUCUUGAACAAGGAGAAGAAAUGAUGACUCCGAUCUGACAAUCUCGAAAUGAAUCGGCCUAAGGCCGCUAUCCGCCUUGUCAGCCAUUGUACGGACUUCACGUUGUUAAACCACUGUAAUUUCUUUAAUGGCCUUGAUUUUGUCGGGGUUGAUCUCGAUCCCCCUAUUCGACACCAUGAAUCCUAAAAAUUAUACCCGAUCCUACUCCAAAGGCACAUUUCUUGGGGUUGAGCUUCAUGUUGUAGCUUCUACGUAUAUCGAAUGUUUCCUGCAAAUGAGUCAAAUGGUCCUCUGUGCACAGGGACUUAACUAGCAUGUAAUUAAUGUAAACUUCCAUAGAUUGGCCUAUUUGAUGUUCGAACAUUUUAUUAACUAAGCAUUGGUACGUAGCUCCUACGUUUUUUAGCCCGAAGGGCAUUACAUUAUAACAGUAUGUACCAUACUUCGUGAUGAAUGGAGUCUUUUUCCUGUCCUCUGAGUUCAUUUGAAUUUUAUUAUACCCAGAGUAGGCGUCGAUAAAAGUGAGGAUCUCGUGGCCAUCCGUGGAAUCGAUCAAGAGAUCGAUGUUGGGCAAUAGGAAUGAGUCUUUGGGGCAUGCUUUAUUCAAGUCUUUAUAAUCUACGUACAUUCUUAAUUUAUUUCCUUUUUUGGGAACCACUACUAUAUUAGCCAACCAUUCGGGGUAUUUUACCUCCCUAAUUGACCCUAUUUUGAGGAGUUUUGUUACCUCUUCUUUGAUGAACGCAUGUUUUACCUCAGAUUGAGGCCUCCUUUUUUGCUUUACUGGUUUGAACUUGGGAUCGACACUUAGUUGAUGGGUGGUUAUUUCCGGCGGGAUCCCUGUCAUGUCUAAAUGGGACCAAGCAAAGCAAUGAAUGUUGUAAUAAGAAAUUGGAUGAGUUUUUUCCUGAGUUCGGGGGUUAAUCCCUUUCUUAGGUAUACCUAUCGAUCUGGAGAUACUCGAUCAAGACGGCUUGUUCGAGUUCUUCGACCAUUGAUUUUGUUGCAUCCGACUCCUUAGAGGCAACAAAGGUUCGAGGAGUGAGGAAGUCUUCUUCGUCAUCUUCGUUCCAAUGCUCAUAGACCACCUGUUCCUCGGGGGUUAGCCCGUUCCCUGACUCAUCCUGGAUGGGGAGAGCCAAUGUUAGUUCCAUGUCGUUUAUCGCGAACAUCUCUUUUACUGCAUGUUGUUCUCCGUACACCAUUUUUAUACCAUCUUUUGUUGGGAACUUCAUCAUCUGAUGAAAAGUUGAUGGUACCUCCCUCAUGUUAUGUAUCCACGGUCUUCCAAGUAAGGUAUUGUACCUCAUGUCACCUUCGAUGAUGUGAAACUUGGUGUCUCUAACUGUACCAGAUACGUUGACUGGGAGGAUGAUUUCCCCCUUCGUUGUCUCACUUGCCAUGUUGAAUCCAUUGAGUACUCGAGAGGUGGGUAUGAUCUGAUCGAGAAGUCCGAGCUGCUCCAUCACCUUCGACCUGAUUAUGUUGGCCGAGCUACCAAGAUCCACGAGCACACGUUUAAUUUGAACGUUAUUCAAAAGAAAAGAAAUUACCAAUGCGUUAUUAUGUGGUUGGGACAAGGCCUCGAUGUCUUCUUCUCUAAAUAUGAGGGUGUCCUUGGGCAAGUAAUCUCGAGUCCGCUUUUCCCUGGUGAUGGAUACUUUGGUGCAUUUGAAAAUGGGUCCCUAUGGGACGUCAACUCCGUCGAUGAUCAUAUGAAUGACAUGUUGGGGCUCUUCUGGUGCACUCUUCCUACCUGCAUCCCUCUCCCUGAAGUGAUUCUUAGCCCGAUCACUUAGGAAUUCUCGAAGGUGGCCCUCAUUGAAUAACCUAGCCACUUCCUCCCUUAGCUAUCUGAUAUCCUCUAUUCUGUGACCAUGCGUGCCAUGAUACUUGCACAUUAAGUUUGGGUUCCUUUGGGAGGGAUCGGUCUGUAUUGGCCUAGCCCACUUAGUAUCUUUGAUUUUCCCAAUAGCCGAGACGAUCCCUGAUGCAUCUAUGCUGAAAUUGUACUUUGAUAAUCGAGGUGAUUCGGUGGGGUAGACAUGCUUAUCGAACCCAAUUUUGCUCAUGAGCCCCUGAGAACGUAAGCCUUGGUCACUUCUUCGAUCGCCCCGAGAAGUGUCGUGGCUUAGGCCGUUGUUUCUUCGAUCGUAUGGUUGAUACCGUUCUUUGUUGAAUCUUGAUCCCCGAUUUGUAUCCCUCGGGGCUUGGUAGCGAACCUGUUUGGGUGAACUGAGCCAGAGGGGGCUCCCAGCUGGUCAUCAUUGACCCUAAUUUUUGAUUGGUACUGAUUUUCCACGUCCAACCAUGUCACAACUGGAUAUUCGAUCAAAUUCUGCUUCAGUUGUCGAGAUGCAAUCGAACUUCUCUCAUUCAAUCCUUGCAUGAAGGCCUGAACUACCCAGUCAUCGGAGAUCAGGGGUAACUCCUUUCUUUCCAUUUGAAAUCGGGACACAACUCCCUUAGAAUUUCGUCGUCCAUCUGCCUUAUCUUGAAUAUGUCCGAUUUUUUUGUGGCCACCUUUAUGGCUCCGGCGUGUGCUUUUACGAAGGUGUCCGUCAACAUAGCAAAUGAAUCAAUACAGUUAGGAGCUAAGUUGUGAUACCAGAUCAUAGCUCCUUUUGAUAGCGUUUCUCCGAACUUUUUCAAUAAUAUUGAGUUGAUUUUGGCACCAUUCAAGUCAUUUCCUUUGAUCCCACAAGUGUACGAAGUAAUAUGUGUGUUUGGGUCCAUUGUCAUGUUGUACUUUGGUAUAUCGGGCAUGCAAAACUUCUUAGGAAUGGUCAUCGGAGCCGCACUUGAGGGGAAAGGUUUUUGAAUGAAUUUUUUGGCAUCAAGGCCCUUCAGAACUGGAGGUGCUCCGGGUAUCUGGUCUACCUGGGAGUUGUAAGUUUCCACCCUUUUAUCAUUGUCUUCUAUAUUCUUUUCUCCCGACUCAAUCCUUUUAGUCAGUUCUUCGAGCAUUUUCAUGAUAGUGGGGCCAGUCCCCGAGCCACUUUCAUCAUGUCUUUCCAGCACCGGCUUGCGCUGCAUGUUUACUGGUUCAGUGGUGGUAGAGGUCCUGUUCUGACUUUGAUGUUGAGCGAUGGUGACUUACUGAGGUUGCAGCAUCUUGAAUAUCACUUAGAGGCUGACUCCUCAUUCUUCCUGUCCUUGUGCUUCUUGGCCUCCGGCCUGGGCUUCCUGUGUGAAUUUCUUAUGGGGUCUGCGCCCGCGUCCGUGUUUAAAGCGUUGUGGGAGCUAAUAUCAACUGACUCCACAGUUGACACUCCCCAAGGUUUACAGGUGGUACACCGAGACCUAUGCCGCUGUUUCUCCAAGUCCUUCACUAUCGUGAGCAGGUGCAUUCUGUGUGCUAGACAUGAUUAAGCCUAAAAUCAAAGAAACUUUGACAAGAAAAAGUGUGAAGAAUAAUAUGUGUUAUCAGAAAACUAGCACUAAAAUAAUCACUAUUAUCUUUAGCCCCACGGUGGGCGCCAAACUGUUUACCUUGAAAAUGGUUUUAAAAAUUAUAUAUAAUUUUAUGGCUCUAAAAAUAUGUGAUUUAUUUCAAUACUAGUUGUUAGGCAAUAGAUGCUAAGUGUAAGUAAAGAGAAUAAGACAUGCAAACCAAUGUUGAUAAAGGACUGGGGUCUCGAACUUAAUGGAAUCAAGGACCUCGGGUCCGAUAAUAGCAACAAAUGAAGAACAAUAAAUGAAGAAUAAUGAAUGAAAAAUAAUAAAGCUGAAAGACAGUAUUGAGCGUGAGAAAAGCAGAAAAUAUUCUAUUGUGGUCAAAAAUGUUGUGUCCCUUACAAAGUGAUUGGGGUCCCCUUUAUAUAGGAGGAGGAGGCCCUAACAUAGUACAUUGCUUAUACAGAUAAAUAAUUCCAUUGGUACAGGUGUAUAACGGCCUAGUACAGAUCUGUCCCGUCUCGUACGACCCUUAUCCUAUAAUUAAUGCCUAGUCCCACAUCCCCUUGAGAAAUUCCCGCUCUUUCUUGAUUGACCUUGAGAUAAUGCUGCCCUCGAUGCGGUCUAUUCCACACAUUCGAUCAGCUUCCCCGAGAUAGUUGUUCGACACCCACUUCGAGUCUCCUCGGACUCGAGCCUAUAGCCUGUUUACCGUAUACAAAAAUAUUGUCUAGCUAUAGGCUCGUCAUUUUCAGUAAACAUUAAUUUUGAAAGGGAGCCUUGGCAUAACUCGUAAAGUUGCUUCAUGUGACCAGGAGGUCACGAGCUCAACCCGUGUGGAAACAGUCUCUUAGAGAAAUAAAGGGUAAGACUGUGUACAAUAGACCCUUGUAGUCAGGCCCUUCCUUGGACCCCACACAUAGCAGGAGAUUAGUGCACCGGCUAGCCUUGUUAGCUUUCUUUUUCCCAUUUAUGAUACUUGACCUGCUGUCAGACAAUCUUUAUACAUUUCCGCUCCACCAUUCGUAGUUGACAUCAUUCCACCAAAAAUAUGACUAUAUGUAGUCACUCACUCAAUGACAGAUACUAGUAUUACGAGAUGUGAAAGAAAGGUCCAGAUCCUACACAUCCAAAUUAAGAGGAUAAAACAUGCAUAAAUAAAAUUAAGCAAGAAGAAGACAUUUAGCUAACAAACAUUAGAAAGAGCUUUUUUUCUAUAGUUAUUUGGUGAGAAGCUAACAAACAUUUAGCUGGCGUUUGGACAUAAAGUUGAUUGAAACUUGAAAAAAUAAUUUUUAAAAUUGUAUUGAAAAAUAAUUUUUGAAAAUUGAAAUUGUCUUUGCACAUGCAUUUUGGUUUUUGAAAAGCUAAGUGUUUGACCAAAAAGGUUUAGGCCCUUUUUGUUAAACCAAUUUAAUAAGUAGAUAAAGGGUGAAUCCUAGUUAAAUAUAUUAAAUCUUAGAUCUAAAGUUCGAUAAUUUUAAUGGUACAGGAUCGUGUUUAAGUCAAUGAAUGCCAAGUUAAUGCUCAAUGAUUAACAAUAAAUAUGAGAAUGAAAACAUGCAAUAAAUAUGACAAAUGGCAUUAAAUGUAAUAAGAAGAAAUUUGUCACCCAAAUGUUGAAUGAGUGGGAUGAUUCCCUUUUCUAACAAUAGCAUGUGACAACCGACUAUAGAGAUGAACAAAGUGUUCUUAGAUCUUGUGAAUAAAAGAGGAAUGUUUAGCAAUGAAAUCAAACUGAGGAGACAAGACAAGCUUUUUGUAUAUUCUUGAUAGUCAACCCUUUACAAGAUGUUCUUAUCAGAAGAGUCCAGAAGCCCCCUUUUUUGUUCUCCAUCUCUUCCUAUUUAUAAGGGAUAUUCCAAGAAAACCUUAAAAAAUACAAUUGGGGGAAUAUUCAAUAGAAUAUUCCUAUUCAUAAUCCUAAAAAUAUUCUAACCGUUGCUACUGUUUGUUCUCUACUCGACCUUGGUGCGGGUCUCUCUCUCUGGACGACUCCUCGCCACUAGGCCAUGCUUGGCUUCGACCUCAGAAUUAGCUCGUCCAUUUGCAUUAACUAAACUCGACCUAAUUUUGACCCAUACAGUUAGUCCCUCCGCUUAUUGAGGUCGUCCUCUUGGGAGUCCUCGAUGAGCAGAUUUUAUCUGCAUCUAAUCACAAGAAAUUCCGACAUGGUGAAUGAGCUGAAUUGGUCGAUGUCGAAUUGAUGACGGAUUGGCUCAAAGGUUGUGGUUGGCGUGGCUGACAUAGGAUGAUUUCAUGGUCACAUGCGUCAUCAUGAUGCAUCUUCUCGAUGCGAUGCAUCAUUUUCGGUGCCUAUGUUGCUUUGAUUUUGGUAUCACUGAUAGUUUCUUGCAUCAAUUUAGGCGCCAAAAUAUCCAAUAAAUAGAGGAAGGGGGAUUCACAAAUGAAACUUUCACACUACAUACUCCAUUUUCACUUUGCUUGUUCUUCUGCUUCUUCUCUAACCCUUGUCUCCGAUUUCCUUUUGCUUUUUAGCUCUAGCUGGUUUCUUUUCUCGUUGAUACUCUCUUCUCGGUUCUAUUGUAUACACAUUACUAUAUAUAUGAGAAACUCCCCUCACACUUCUGACAUAGUUUACGAUGCCACCCCAUUGUCAGUGGCCAUGCCUUUCGGUGGUGGUGAGCCUACGGUUGCGGAAGACAAAAAAUUUCUCACCGUGGAGGAGGUUGUUCCCCGGAA